AUGAAGACCUUUCUCAUCCUUGCCCUCCUUGCUAUCAUGGCGACCACCACCACAACUGCAGUUAGAGUUCCAGUGCCACAAUUGCAGCCACAAAAUCCAUCUCAGCAACAACCACAAGAGCAAGUUCCAUUGGUGCAACAACAACAAUUUCUAGGGCAGCAACAACAACAAUUUCCAGGGCAACAACAACCAUUUCCACCACAACAGCCAUAUCCGCAGCCGCAACCAUUUCUGCCACAACUACCAUAUCCGCAGCCGCAACCAUUUCCACCACAACAAUCAUAUCCACAACCACAACCACAAUAUCCGCAACCACAACAACCAAUUUCGCAGCAACAAGCACAACUACAACAACAACAACAACAACAACAACAACAACAAAUCCUUCAACAAAUUCUGCAACAACAACUGAUUCCAUGCAGGGAUGUCGUCUUGCAACAACCCAAUAUAGCACAUGCAAGCUCACAAGUAUCGCAACAAAGUUACCAACUGUUGCAACAAUUAUGUUGUCAGCAACUGUGGCAGACCCCCGAGCAGUCACGGUGCCAAGCCAUCCACAAUGUCAUUCAUGCUAUUAUUUUGCAUCAACAACAACAACAACAACAACAACAACAACAACAACAACAACAACAACAACCGUCGAGCCAGGUCUCCUACCAGCAGCCUCAGCAACAAUAUCCAUCAGGCCAGGGCUUCUUCCAGCCAUCUCAGCAAAACCCACAGGCCCAGGGCUUUGUCCAACCUCAGCAACUGCCGCAGUUCCAGGAAAUAAGGAACCUAGCGCUGCAGACGCUACCAGCAAUGUGCAAUGUCUACAUCCCUCCAUAUUGCUCGACCACCAUUGCGCCAUUUGGCAUCAUGAGUACUAACUGA
rnacentral:rRNA from 1 species